UUCUGGAUUAUGCUUCAGAAUAACGGCAGAACAAAAUUUGAAAUGCUGUCAGAUGCAGUUUUACUUCUCAGUGGAGAAGUGGAGAUUAUUUUAGUCUUUUGCUUAGUUCUGUUUUAAAAAUUUACAUUCAUAGGUGAAUCCUCACUUUUAUGUAUUCACAUGGCAUUCAAUCCCACUCAUAUAUGUUAUUUAAUUACCUUUAUUUCCACCUGAAAUUCUAAUAUGAACAGCAUCUUAUUUCCAUGAUCUUUAUCCUGCCUUUUAAUUGCAUGUGCCAAAACAGGAGGUUGGAGGACUACGUCAUUCUCAGUUUCUCCCCAGGCUGCACUGCUGUUCUGCAAUGGUCACAGAACUGGCACAAAACACUUCCUUUGCAUCAUCAGGAAACAACGGGAAGAAUUUGGAAAAUACAUAGAGCCUAACACUCAGUAAUCAGUGUUCUCUCUGUUAAUAAAUGGUCAGCAGUGCUCUGAGGGCUGGGUCAUGUGAACUCAACCACGUCAGUUGUGGCUGAAGUGUGUUUAAGAACAAGAAAAACAAGAAGAGUGCAAGAACAAUGAAGAUUGUGUGAAUGAAUUUAUUCAGGCUGGCUGAUGGUGGGGAAUGCCAGUUACUGCAUGGGGUAAGGAACGAGGGUCUGCAGAGGACAGGAGUAAUUAAAACUUUCUUUGGAAAUAUACCUGUACAUAUA